rnacentral:rRNA from 1 species
GCACAAGCGUGGAGCAUGUGGUUUAAUUCGAUGCAACGCGAAGAACCUUACCUGGGCUUGACAUCCCGAGAAUCCCCUGGAAACAGGGGAGUGCCUUUCGGGGAACUCGGAGACAGGUGCUGCAUGGCUGUCGUCAGCUCGUGUCGUGAGAUGUUGGGUUAAGUCCCGCAACGAGCGCAACCCUUGUCUUUAAUUGCCAGCAUUCAGUUGGGCACUUUAAAGAGACUGCCGGUGUUAAGCCGGAGGAAGGUGGGAUGACGUCAAGUCCUCAUGGCCUUUAUGCCCAGGGCUACACACGUGCUACAAUGGGUGGUACAAAGAGAUGCCAACUCGCGAGAGCGCGCCAAUCUCAGAAAGCCAUCCUCAGUUCGGAUUGGAGUCUGCAACUCGACUCCAUGAAGUUGGAAUCGCUAGUAAUCGCGGAUCAGCACGCCGCGGUGAAUACGUUCCCGGGCCUU